rnacentral:snoRNA from 1 species
UCACAGUGAUGAACGGUCCAAACAUUCGCGGUUUCCACCAGAACUUGACUUGUGUUGGCAUUCCUUCCUUGGAUGUCUGAGUGA